CCCCACUGCUAUCGGGAUAGGACUAAGACAUGCUAGUCGAGCGCCUCCCAGCCACGACGGAGGCGCGGCGUACAGCUCAGUAACACGUGGCUAACCUGCCCUCGGGACGGGAAUACCCCCGGGAAACUGGGGCUAAUCCUCGAUAGGUGAAGAACUCUGGAAUGAGUCUCCGCCCAAAAGACGCUUAAAUCAUGCUUUUAGGCGCCGCCCAAGGAUGGGGCCGCGACCGAUCAGGUUGUUGGUGAGGCAACGGCUCACCAAGCCUUUAACCGGUGCGGGCCGUGAGAGCGGGAGCCCGGAGAUGGGCACUGAGACAAGGGCCCAGGCCCUACGGGGCGCAGCAGUCGCGAAAACUUUGCAAUACACGAAAGUGUGACAGGGUUAUCCCGAGUGCCAUCCGCUGAGGAAGGCUUUUACCCAGUAUAGAAAGCUGGGAGAAUAAGGAGAGGGCAAGACUGGUGUCAGCCGCCGCGGUAAUACCAGCUCUCCGAGUGGUGUGGAUGUUUAUUGGGCCUAAAGCAUCCGUAGCUGGCCAAGUUAGUCCCCUGUUAAAUCCACCGAAUUAAUCGUUGGAGUGCGGGGGAUACUGCUCGGCUAGGGGACGAGAGAGGCCGACGGUAUUUUCGGGGUAGGGGUGAAAUCCUAUAAUCCCGGGAGGACCACCAGUGGCGAAGGCUGUCGGCUAGAACGCGCCCGACGGUGAGGGAUGAAAGCUGGGGGAGCGAACCGGAUUAGAUACCCGGGUAGUCCCAGCUGUAAACGAUGCAGGCUAGGUGUUUGGGCGGCCACGGGCCGCUCUAGUGCCGCAGGGAAGCCGUUAAGCCUGCCGCCUGGGGAGUACGGUCGCAAGGCUGAAACUUAAAGGAAUUGGCGGGGGAGCACCACAAGGUGUGAAGCUUGCGGUUUAAUUGGAUUCAACGCCGGA
rnacentral:rRNA from 1 species